rnacentral:rRNA from 1 species
AGUGAACGCUGGCGGUAGGCCUAACACAUGCAAGUCGAACGGCAGCACAGUAAGAGCUUGCUCUUACGGGUGGCGAGUGGCGGACGGGUGAGGAAUACAUCGGAAUCUACUUUUUCGUGGGGGAUAACGUAGGGAAACUUACGCUAAUACCGCAUACGACCUACGGGUGAAAGCAGGGGAUCUUCGGACCUUGCGCGAUUGAAUGAGCCGAUGUCGGAUUAGCUAGUUGGCGGGGUAACGUCCCACCAAGGCGACGAUCCGUAGCUGGUCUGAGAGGAUGAGCGGCCACACGGGAACGGAGAAAAGGUGCAGACGCCUACGGGAGGCAGCAGGCGGGAAGCUUCAGCCAUGGGGGAAAGCUUGACGGAGCAACGCCGCGGGAGUGAUGAAGGUUUUCGGAUCGUAAAAUUUUGUUAUUAGAGAAGAACAAAUGUGUAAGUAACUAGGCACGUCUUGAGGGUACCUAAUCAGAAAGCCACGGCUAACUACGUG